AUUGAACGCUGGCGGCAGGCCUAACACAUGCAAGUCGAGCGGAUGAAGGGAGCUUGCUCCUGGAUUCAGCGGCGGACGGGUGAGUAAUGCCUAGGAAUCUGCCUGGUAGUGGGGGAUAACGUCCGGAAACGGGCGCUAAUACCGCAUACGUCCUGAGGGAGAAAGUGGGGGAUCUUCGGACCUCACGCUCUCAGAUGAGCCUAGGUCGGAUUAGCUAGUUGGUGGGGUAAAGGCCUACUAAGGCGACGAUCCGUAACUGGUCUGAGAGGAUGAUCAGUCACACUGGAACUGAGACACGGUCCAGACUCCUACGGGAGGCAGCAGUGGGGAAUAUUGGACAAUGGGCGAAAGCCUGAUCCAGCCAUGCCGCGUGUGUGAAGAAGGUCUUCGGAUUGUAAAGCACUUUAAGUUGGGAGGAAGGGCAGUAAGUUAAUACCUUGCUGUUUUGACGUUACCAACAGAAUAAGCACCGGCUAACUUCGUG
rnacentral:rRNA from 1 species